rnacentral:rRNA from 1 species
UACGUAGGGUCCGAGCGUUGUCCGGAAUUACUGGGCGUAAAGAGCUCGUAGGUGGUUUGUCGCGUUGUUCGUGAAAACUCACAGCUUAACUGUGGGCGUGCGGGCGAUACGGGCAGACUAGAGUACUGCAGGGGAGACUGGAAUUCCUGGUGUAGCGGUGGAAUGCGCAGAUAUCAGGAGGAACACCGGUGGCGAAGGCGGGUCUCUGGACAGUUCCUGACGCUGAGGCGCGAAGGCCAGGGGAGCAAACGGG